UCUGUUUAACGCAUGCGUGAACACUUUACGGCAUGCUAGGCUUUCAAUACACCUGCGCGCAGCUUCACAGUAAUAUGUUUGACUUUAUCAAAGAGGGUUACCUGUCAUUGUUGUGAUUUAAAUGUGGAAGUGCGAGGACUGUGGUGCAGCAUUAUCAAAAUUGCAAGCCAAAUGAUGCUGAGAGGGAGACUGAACAGACGGCCAUGGGGAUAUAUGUAAUAAGGAGAGAAGGUGAAGAUGCUACUGAGGAGUCAGGAUGUAUGUGUCGUACUUGAGGGUGUUGAAGUUCUUGGUGAACUAAAGAAUAUUGUUUCUGCUUUUAUCGUGCUGUUUGGCCUGAUCUAUGCACUCAACCUGAGCUACCCUCAUGAUUUAAAGUGUACAUUUGAAGUUAUUCAGAAGGUCAUAAUGAACAUGGAUGGGCAAAAGCUUUCUCCAAAAGUGCAAGCACUUAAAAUUAAAAUGCUUCAGUGAUCACCAUACACACAAUAUUUUCUUUUGUAUUCUGAUUUUUUCCAAAUUAGAAAUGGAUAAACGCAAGUUAGAGAGGCAAAUUCUUUUGCUUUCCUUCAAAACUAUUUUUAUUGUGCAGCUUUUUGCCUCUGACCACUGAAGGAAAUUCUUGAAUUGAUGAUUUUUCCCCCAAAAGAGAGAACCUGUUUUACCGGCUUGCUUAUUAGACAUCCUGAGAGCUUAAAAUGCUUAUAAGAAUUUGUAAUUGAACUUUGUGUAAACAAAUGUAACAUAUUGAAAAACAAACAUUCAUUGAGAUUAUUAAUAGGUAGAACUAAAUUUGUAUUCACUGCUUAAACAAUCAAAAUGUUAGCAUCUGUCUGUUUCUACAUUAUUUACACUUUGUAAAGGAAUUGUAGAUGUUUUUCCAAAACUAAAGCAUAAGUUAUGUUAAGUAUGUAAUAAGUAGUGAUUUAUGCAAAAUAAAAUUGACACCUGCUUAAGCAGAUAUUUAGGAAUUGUACAUUUUCAUUGUUCAUCGGACUGAUAGUAAAAACACACUCUGUUCAAUGAAAUUGUUAUGUAUGUACAGUGUAGCUGUUUAAUCUAAAUGUGUAAAUGAGUGGUGUUUCAGCCUUAGCCCCUAAAUCUUUUUUAUAUAUAUAUUAUAGUUUUGAUAUAAAGUAUUAAGGGGAGAAAAUAGCAUAUGAGCAGCCAAUAAGCUUGCGGCACUUUAAUGUGUGUCUGCUUUUUAGGUGGAACUAGGUUAAUUUUAUUUAGUUGGAGAGACAUGAUGUAAAUGGAUGGAAAUUUGUCACAUAAUUAAACUGUAAAAUUACCAUAAAGUAAAUAUGUUGAAUUAACAUGUAGCGAUUGGUUUAAGUGAAAUAAUUUUAAAUGUAAACAGUCUGUAAUAACCACUAAAUAUAAUCAAUCCGGUUAAUUUCUUUGGGAUUUGAGUUACAAAUUUGGAUGGCCUUAUAUUAACUAAAAUAAAUCUUUAAAUUACAAUGUUCAUUUCUUUGAAAUGGCUCAAUUUAGGUGGAAAUUUUAGUGGCCAGUCCAAAUCAAAGCAAUAAGAAUCUUACUUCCUCUCAGAUCUUCAGUGCUUAACUUUAUAACAGUACUUUCUAACACAUUACAACUUAACAGCGAAAUAAAAAUUGUAAGUCUAGAUGAGGGUAUAGUCCUAUCACCAUUCGAAUAUAAUGAACAUGUAGCCCUCUAACUUAAGUGUCAACAUAAUUUUACACUCCUUGCAAUGUUUUUUUUUUUUUUUUUUUUAAACUCUUUAACUCUUAAAGUAGACCUUGUAAAUCUUACUUUGACAUGAUACUUUUAAAACAAAUUUUCUUGGCUUUUAAAUUGUACAGUCAAUCUCACCGUAUUUUUCUGUUUGACAAGUAUAGUAAAGUAACUAAGCACAUACGCUAAAAUUGCCUAAAGGUUUCACUUCUGAACAAUGACGUGCUUUCCUGCAGUGUGCUCUGUUAUGCUCCAGACUUCGAUGGUAUAGCUUUACAGACGAGUUCUUAUGACAUUUUUGCUCUCUGCCUCUUUAAACGCGCUGCUCUUAAAGGCGAGAUAAAAAAAAAAAAAAUCUGCGAGAAGCUAGAACGAAGAGGACCACUUAUACUUUCUGCGUUCGUUAUUAAGAAACCAAACGAAGUAACAAGCAAAGAAAUGUCGGAGUAUGUUUGUUUUGUUUGUUUUUAGACUGCUGCCCCCGUGACUUCCACCCGAAUAAGCGUCAGAAGAUGCAUAAAAGAUAUUUGCAGAUAAUCAUUUUAUUGAUGGCGGAGUCUUUGUAUGAAAUGGAAAGAUUCACCGGAGUUACUGAAAAAGGCAGGACUUUGGGAGAAGAAACUGGAAACAGUGGUGCAAAUUUAAUGCCACAGAAAUAUUUAGCCUUCCUCAUUUCUGUAUUGUUUCUACAUCACUAUGUGGAAUGAAUAUGUUAACUAAGUACUACUCAAAAAAAAAUAUAUAUCAUUUUACUUCUAAUGUACAGUUUAUUCAAAUUCAGGAUGUUGCUGUGUAUUUUAAUGUCAACUUAUCUAAAUCAAAUCUAUUUAAUUCUAUUUCAUUUUGCAACAUUAACAAUAUUGAUUUAAUUGCCUUCUCCAAUGGAAUUGACAGCCUGCCCAGUGGUGACAAUUGAUUUACCACAGAUGAACUAGUUUCCUACUAUAACAAUGGACUAUGCAGCCUUUUAGACAAUCUUGCUCCUCUGUAAACCCAGAGUGUCUCUUUCAUCCACUCUGUCCCCUGGUUCACCCCGGAACUCCUCUAGCUUAAAGCUAAGGACAGACAUUUGGAAUGCCUUUAUAAAAAGACGGACUGUGCUGUGUCCAUAAGAAUAUGUAUGAUGAACACAUGUGCAACUAUAAGGAUGCUUUGUCUGCUACAUAUUACUCAACACUAACUGGGUCUGGUGAAGAGAAUACAAAGGCUUCAUUUUCUACUGAAAACAACAUUCUCCGGCCACCUGACAGUCUUCCACCUCAAUUUUACUGCACAGAUCAAUGUAACUCUUUUAUGACAUUGUUUGAUAUGAAGAUCGGAAAUAUGCACCAGCAGUUAACCUCUUCUGGAAAUUAUGUACACGGAACAUUUUUUAUGAUCCCCCUUCUUCUUUUCUUACUAGUUUUAAACUUCCUACUGUGGAGGAAAUACAGUACUUGGUAGUAUUAGAAAAUCUAAGCCCUCUACCUAUCAACUGGGCCUAGUUCCUACUUAUUUGAUUAACUUCUGUUUAUCUUCCCUUUCUUCUUUAACUACUUAUUAUUCAAUUAUUCAUAUCAUAUAAUAUUAUCAUAUUACUCUGUAUUACAUCAUACAUUCUUUCCUUAUCACUGGUCUUGUUCCUUUAUCUUUUAAAAUGGCUGUAAUAACUGCAAAUCUCAAGAAAUCUGGUGUGGAUCCCUACAACCUAAAUAAUUAUCAUCCAAUCUCUAAUUUAGUUUUCCUUUGUAAAACACUUGAAAAAACUGUUGCCAUGCAGGUUCCCUCUUACCUUACUGACAAUCAUUUGUUUGAAUGAUUUUAGUCUGGCUUUUGUCCAUUUCACAGUACCGAGACAGCCCUGGUUAAAAUCACCAAUGCCCUGCUGAUGGCAGCUGACUCUGGACUGUUAACUACACUUGUACUCCUUGAUCUGAGCUCUGACUUUGAUGCAAUCUCUCAUGAUUUUCUCCUAGAGAGAUUAGAAACAUUCAUAAUGUUGACUCUCUUCCUACCUUUAAAUCUCACCUUAAAAAAACAUCUUUUUAAGCUGACUUAUUCUAUUUGAUAUAAAUUUUAGUUGAGAAAUUUAAAUUCACUUCCAUUACUGUAUUUAUUCUGGUUUUAUUGUACUGUAAUACUCAUAAUAUAAUAUAAUAAUAUUAAUUUUA